rnacentral:rRNA from 1 species
CAGUAGCGUAUAUUAAAGUUGUUGCAGUUAAAAAGCUCGUAGUUGGAUUUCUGGUUUGAUACGUCUGGCCCGCCGGGGUUACCCGUGUGAGUUGCCGGUUUUGUUUAUCUACCAUCCUUCUAGUCAGUGCCCAGUUCUUUAUUGAGUUGGUGUCGUGAACUAGAUCUUUUACUUUGAAGAAAUUAGAGUGUUCAAAGCAGGCUUACGCUUGAAUAUAUUAGCAUGGAAUAAUAAUCUAGGACUUUGGUUCUAUUUUGUUGGUUUCUAGGACUGAAGUAAUGAUUGAUAGGGAUAGUUGGGGGUGCUAGUAUUCAGCGGCCAGAGGUGAAAUUCUUGGAUUCGCUGAAGACUAACUUAUGCGAAAGCAUUCACCAAGGAUGUCUUCUUUAA